rnacentral:rRNA from 1 species
CCUACGGGGGGCAGCAGUGGGGAAUAUUGGACAAUGGGGGCAACCCUGAUCCAGCCAUGCCGCGUGUGUGAAGAAGGCCCUCGGGUUGUAAAGCACUUUCAGUGAGGAAGAACGCCUGGUGGUUAAUACCCAUCAGGAAAGACAUCACUCACAGAAGAAGCACCGGCUAACUCCGUGCCAGCAGCCGCGGUAAUACGGAGGGUGCGAGCGUUAAUCGGAAUUACUGGGGCGUAAAGCGCGCGUAGGUGGCUUGAUAAGCCGGUUGUGAAAGCCCCGGGCUCAACCUGGGAACGGCAUCCGGAACUGUCAAGCUAGAGUGCAGGAGAGGAAGGUAGAAUUCCCGGUGUAGCGGUGAAAUGCGUAGAGAUCGGGAGGAAUACCAGUGGCGAAGGCGGCCUUCUGGACUGACACUGACACUGAGGUGCGAAAGCGUGGGUAGCAAACAGGAUUAGAUACCCGUGUAGUC